rnacentral:rRNA from 1 species
GACCCGUCUUGAACCACGGAGUCUAGCAUGUGCGCGAGUCAUUGGGAAAUACAAAACCUAAAGGCGCAAUGAAAGUAAAGGUUCGCUUAAGUGAACUCAGGGAAGACGGAUCGCGUCUCGAUGCGAUCCCGCACUCCCGGGGCGUCUCACUCUCAUUGCGAGAAGGGGCGCACCCAGAGCGUACACGCUGGGACCCGAAAGGUGGUGAUCUAUGCCUGGUCAGGUCGAAGUCAGGGGAAACCCUGAUGGAGGACCGUAGCGAUUCUGACGUGCAAAUCGAUCGUCGGAACUGGGUAUAGGGGCGAAAGACUAAUCGAACCAUCUAGUAGCUGGUUCCUUCCGA